UGGGGAAUAUUGCACAAUGGGCGCAAGCCUGAUGCAGCCAUGCCGCGUGUAUGAAGAAGGCCUUCGGGUUGUAAAGUACUUUCAGCGGGGAGGAAGGUGUUGUGGUUAAUAACCUCAGCAAUUGACGUUACCCGCAGAAGAAGCACCGGCUAACUCCGUGCCAGCAGCCGCGGUAAUACGGAGGGUGCAAGCGGUAAUCGGAAUUACUGGGCGUAAAGCGCACGCAGGCGGUCUGUCAAGUCGGAUGUGAAAUCCCCGGGCUCAACCUGGGAACUGCAUCCGAAACUGGCAGGCUUGAGUCUUGUAGAGGGGGGUAGAAUUCCAGGUGUAGCGGUGAAAUGCGUAGAGAUCUGGAGGAAUACCGGUGGCGAAGGCGGCCCCCUGGACAAAGACUGACGCUCAGGUGCGAAAGCGUGGGGAGCAAACA
rnacentral:rRNA from 1 species